rnacentral:rRNA from 2 species
CGGGAGAAGGGGUGCUCUGGUAGGGUGUAUAGCCCGAGAGAGCCGCAGUGAAUAGGCCCAGGCGACUGUUUAGCAAAAACACAGGUCUCUGCGAAGCCGCAAGGCGAAGUAUAGGGGCUGACGCCUGCCCGGUGCUGGAAGGUUAAGAGGAGGGGUUAUCCUUUGGGAGAAGCUCUGAAUCGAAGCCCCAGUAAACGGCGGCCGUAACUAUAACGGUCCUAAGGUAGCGAAAUUCCUUGUCGGGUAAGUUCCGACCCGCACGAAAGGCGUAACGAUCUGGGCACUGUCUCAACGAGAGACUCGGUGAAAUUAUAGUACCUGUGAAGAUGCAGGUUACCCGCGACAGGACGGAAAGACCCCGUGGAGCUUUACUGUAGCCUGAUAUUGAAUUUUGGUACAGCUUGUACAGGAUAGGUAGGAGCCUGAGAAGCCGGAGCGCUAGCUUCGGUGGAGGCGUCGGUGGGAUACUACCCUGGCUGUAUUGAAAUUCUAACCCGCGGCCCUUAUCGGGCCGGGAGACAGUGUCAGGUGGGCAGUUUGACUGGGGCGGUCGCCUCCUAAAAUGUAACGGAGGCGCCCAAAGGUUCCCUCAGAAUGGUUGGAAAUCAUUCGUAGAGUGUAAAGGCACAAGGGAGCUUGACUGCGAGACCUACAAGUCGAGCAGGGACGAAAGUCGGGCUUAGUGAUCCGGUGGUUCCGCAUGGAAGGGCCAUCGCUCAACGGAUAAAAGCUACCCCGGGGAUAACAGGCUUAUCUCCCCCAAGAGUCCACAUCGACGGGGAGGUUUGGCACCUCGAUGUCGGCUCAUCGCAUCCUGGGGCUGUAGUCGGUCCCAAGGGUUGGGCUGUUCGCCCAUUAAAGCGGUACGCGAGCUGGGUUCAGAACGUCGUGAGACAGUUCGGUCCCUAUCCGUCGUGGGCGUAGGAAAUUUGAGAGGAGCUGUCCUUAGUACGAGAGGACCGGGAUGGACACACCGCUGGUGUACCAGUUGUCUUGCCAAAGGCAUCGCUGGGUAGCUAUGUGUGGACGGGAUAAGUGCUGAAAGCAUCUAAGCAUGAAGCCCCCCUCAAGAUGAGAUUUCCCAUAGCGCAAGCUAGUAAGAUCCCUGAAAGAUGAUCAGGUUGAUAGGUCAGAGGUGGAAGCGUGGCGACAUGUGUAGCUGACUGAUACUAAUCGAUCGAGGACUUAACCAAA